GAUGAAGAACGUAGCGAAAUGCGAUAAGUAGUGUGAAUUGCAGAAUUCAGUGAAUCAUCGAAUCUUUGAACGCACAUUGCGCCCCCUGGUAUUCCGGGGGGCAUGCCUGUUCGAGCGUCAUUUCACCACUCAAGCCUCGCUUGGUAUUGGGCAUCGCGGUCCGCCGCGUGCCUCAAAUCGACCGGCUGGGUCUUCUGUCCCCUAAGCGUUGUGGAAACUAUUCGCUAAAGGGUGUUCGGGAGGCUACGCCGUAAAACAACCCCAUUUCUAAGGUUGACCUCGGAUCAGGUAGGGAUACCCGCUGAACUUAAGCAUAUCAAUAAGCGGAGGA
rnacentral:misc_RNA from 1 species